rnacentral:lncRNA from 1 species
UGAGGAUCGAACCCAGGCCGCACGCAUGCCAGACGAGCGCGCUACCGCUUGAGCCAUAUCCCCAGCCCCGAAAAUUUGAAUCUUAAUGCCACUUUCUUUUCUCUCGCUCAGAUCUGUAAUUUUUUUGGAAGUCACAAACUCUUACAUUUAAGAAAAAUCAUAUAAUCUUAAUUUGGCGGUUAAAUUUUUAAUAACACAUGUAAAGCAAAUAGUCUAAAAAGCACAAAAACCAUUUUAUGGCCAAACAUUUCAUGGAGGGAGUUAAAAAAUAAUGUCUAAAGGAAAGUAUGUUAUGAGGAUUAUAAUAAACUUUGUCUCCCCCUCCCCCUCUCCCUCCCUCUCUUGUUUAACCUGGCUUCUUAUCUGGGUAUGAAUCUGUGUUCUGUAGGUGACCUGUAGGUGACUACACUCCAAUGUCAUCUCCUGGCUCAGUGCUUAAUUGCACUUGGCAACCAGCCCUGCUAGAGGAGGAAGGGGAGUGGGCCUGCGGUCACAGAAAGAUGGCAAAGAGAACCUUCACAGGAGUUGUCUCACACACACUUCCUCACACAAAAUCAAAUGAUGAAUUCAUUUAUUUCACCAAAUGCAAAAGAACUCAGGCUUCCCUUGCAAAAUAGCCCACUCAGAGUCCAAGCAAUCUGAGGGACCCGAGGAUUCCAAAGAACUGGUUCAA